UACGUAGGGUGCAAGCGUUGUCCGGAAUUAUUGGGCGUAAAGAGCUCGUAGGCGGUUUGUCGCGUCUGCUGUGAAAACUCGGGGCUUAACUCCGGGCCUGCAGUGGGUACGGGCAGACUAGAGUGCGGUAGGGGAGACUGGAAUUCCUGGUGUAGCGGUGAAAUGCGCAGAGAUCGGGAGGAACACCCGUAGCGAAGGCGGCACUCUGGGCCGGUACUGACGCUGAGGAGCGAAAGCGUGGGGAGCAAACAGG
rnacentral:rRNA from 1 species